CAAAAAUAAACUUUUAUUGCCAGACCAAAAAUAAACUGAUUAUGUCAGUUCAAUUUCAUCAUAUUUGCAUUAAAAUCCCCUUCACAUUAUGUUCCAACUUCUAAGCAGGUACUUAUACCUAAUAGACAUUGUAAACAGAUGCCAUAUCAUCUUUAUGUCAACAUGGUGGUAAAAAAAAAGAAUGCAACAGAAUCUUAAUGGUCCAGUAAACACCAG
rnacentral:misc_RNA from 1 species